AUAUUGGACAAUGGGGGAAACCCUGAUCUAGCCAUCCCGCGUGUAUGAUGAAGGGCUAAGGGUUGUAUAGUAAUUUUGGCAGAGAAGAAAAGGUAACCCAUAAUACGGGAUACUGCUGACGGGAUCUGCAGAAUAAGCACCGGCUAACCACGUGCAAGCCGCCGCGGUAAUACGUAGGGUGCAAGAGUGAAGCGGAAUUACGGGGCGAAAAGCGUGUGUAGGCGGUUCGGAAAGAAAGAUGUUAAAUUCAAGUGCUCAACCUACGAACUGGAUUGUUAACUGCCGAGCUAGAGUAUGUCAGAAGGGGGUAUAAUUCCACGUGUAGCAGUGGAGUGCGUAGAUAUGUGGAGAAAUACAGAUGGAGAAGGCAGCCCCCUGUGAUAAUACUGACGCGCAGACACGAAAGCGUGGGGAGCAAACAGG
rnacentral:rRNA from 1 species